AAUUGUUGCCCGUCCUCUACCCCAACUAAGCAUUUUCGAUCCUUAACCCUAGCGAUUUACUGACCACCACAACCACCCAUCGUCGCCCCCUUCCCCUUUCCCUCCCUCUUCGAGCUCUUGACACUGCCUCUGACUAUUCGAACCUUCCCUCCCUCUUAUGUCGACGUCGCCCUCGCCCCUAUCAGCCUAUCUGAACCACCACACCCCCCUUCCCUCCCUCUUCUGUUUGCACUGCCCCCGACUCUCUCUACAUCUUCGAACAGCCGCACAACCUUUCCCUCCCUCUUCUGCCACCCCUCCCUCUUCGAGCUAUAAUAGCGGAUCAACUCUGUCCCCAAUCCCUCCCUCUUCGAGCAGCUCUAUGUCACUCGCUCUUUUCGAGCUCUAUCAAUGACAAAGAUGUAUACUCUCAUUCUUCUUCAAGCUCCUUCAAUGAUAGAGGAGCAGCACUCGUCCCUCUUCAAGCUCCUUCAGCGAUAGAGGCACAACUCUAGAUCAGAGGCAGAGGCACCCCAAAUCUGAUUUUCCAAUUAGAAUUUGAGUCGUGGAGAAAUCAUUGAUAGUACUAAAUGUAAGCUACUUCAUUGGAGUGUUGAUGAAGUUAUUAUAGAAGGUUGAAUUGCAUCCACAGAUCUAAAAGUAAAAGUGCAUCACGUUCCUCUUGAUGGAGUUUAUUGGAAAGUUUGGAUUGAUAGAGUGUUUGCAGACAAGGUGGACCUAAUUCGACCAAAUAAUGAAAUGAUUUUUCUCGAAGAUACAAUAGGAAGCACAAUUGCUUGAUUAUCUAAGUUCAUAGUUUUGUGUGAUUGAGUUACCGAUUUUAUAUUUUUUAGGAAAGUACUUAUGUUAUUAAGUGAAUUUGUGUUACUGGUUUGGAAUGUUUGCUACUAAGUGAAUUGUUAUUUUGUUAAAUUGUGGUGUUGAUGAUUAUUUGUGAUAUUAUAAAUGUUUUAGUUUUAUAAUUAA